AUACGGAGGAUGCGAGCGUUAUCCGGAUUUAUUGGGUUUAAAGGGUGCGUAGGCUGUGCGUUAAGUCAGGGGUGAAAUGCCGUCGCUCAACGACGGAGCUGCCCUUGAUACUGGCGUGCUGGAGUACGGAUGCCGUUGGUGGAAUGAGUGGUGUAGCGGUGAAAUGCUUAGAUAUCACUCAGAACACCGAUUGCGAAGGCAUCUGACGAAUCCGUCACUGACGCUGAGGCACGAAAGCGUGGGGAUAGAACAGGAUUAGAUACUCUGGUAUUCCACGCCGUAAACGAUGAUGACUAACCGUCGGCGAUAGACAGCCGGUGGCCAAGCGAAAGCGAUAAGUCAUCCACCUGGGGAGUACGUCGGCAACGAUGAAACUCAAAUGAAUUGACGGGG
rnacentral:rRNA from 1 species